UAUUCGUUGGACUUUGGGAUGUCACUGUGUCUAUUUACAUUAAUCCCAGGUGAUGGGUGAUAUGUCUCACCAGAAACGUUGGCAUAAAUAAAAAUGGAUGCAGUGACAUCCCAAAGCCCAAUGAAUA
rnacentral:pre_miRNA from 1 species